GUCCACGCCGUAAACGAUGUCAACUAGUUGUUGGGUUCCUUGAGGACUUAGUAACGCAGCUAACGCAUUAAGUUGACCGCCUGGGGAGUACGGCCGCAAGGUUAAAACUCAAAUGAAUUGACGGGGGCCCGCACAAGCGGUGGAGCAUGUGGUUUAAUUCGACGCAACGCGAAGAACCUUACCAAGUCUUGACAUCCGUUGACCGACAUAGAAAUAUGUUUUUCCUUCGGGACAGCGAGACAGGUGGUGCAUGGUUGUCGU
rnacentral:rRNA from 1 species